AUUGAACGCUGGCGGCAGGCCUAACACAUGCAAGUCGAGCGAGCGGCGGACGGGUGAGUAAUGUCUGGGAAACUGCCUGAUGGAGGGGGAUAACUACUGGAAACGGUAGCUAAUACCGCAUACCAUCAGAUAUGCACAGAUGGGCUUAGCUAGUGGGUGGGGUAACGGUCCACCUAGGCGACGAUCCCUAGCUGGUCUGGUAGGAUGACCAGCCACCCUGGAACUGAAACCCGGUCCAGACUCCAACGGGAGGCAUCAGUGGGGAAGAUUGCACUAGGGGCGCAAGCCUGGUGCAGCCAUGCCGCGUGUGUUAAGAAGGCCUUCGGGUUGUAAAGCACUUUCAGCGGGGAGGCGUUACCCGCAGAAGAAGCACCGGCUAACUCCGUGCCAGCAGCCGCGGUAAUUC
rnacentral:rRNA from 1 species